UUCCAUGAAGCUGGAAUUGCUAGUAAUGGCAGGUCAGCAUACUGCCGUGAAUACGUUCCCGGGCCCUUGUACACACCGCCCGUCACACCAUGAGAGUUGGAAAUACCCGAAGCCUGUGAGCUAACUUAAAGAGGCAGCAGUCGAAGGUAGAGCCAAUGAUUGGGGUGAAGUCGUAACAAGGUAUC
rnacentral:rRNA from 1 species